rnacentral:rRNA from 1 species
UAGUCAUAUGCUUGUCCUAAAGAUUAAGCCAUGCAUGUGUACGUUCAAGCCCUUGUACGGUGAAACUGCGGAUGGCUCAUUAUAUCAGUGAUAAUUUGGUUGGUGGAGAAUGCUGUGGAUAACCGUGGUAAUUCUAGAGCUAAUACAUGUGGAGCAGACGCAAGUCUGGCAUUUAUUAGAUAAAGCCUUGGCAAAGGGGACAACUCGUUGUCCCUCUGCGCAGGUGAGUAAUGAUAACUGGGCGGAUCGCAAACUAUUUGCGACGCACCAAGGAAAUUUCUGCCCUAUCAACUGUGGAUGGUAGGAUAGGGGCCUACCAUGGUGGCGACGGGUGACGGGGAAUCAGGGUUCGAUUCCGGAGAGGGAGCCUGAGAGAUGGCUACCACUUCCAAGGAAGGCAGCAGGCGCGCAAAUUACCCAAUCCCGAGGCGGGGAGGUAGUGACAGGACAUGACGGGGCGGGGCGCACAGCGCCCUGCGACUGGGUUGAGGAAAAGAUAAAGCGAAUGACGAGAAACGAUU